rnacentral:rRNA from 1 species
CUGGCUCAGGAUGAACGCUGGCGGCGUGCCUAACACAUGCAAGUCGAACGAAGCACCUUUCACGAUCCCUCGGGGUGACGAGAUUGUGACUGAGUGGCGGACGGGUGAGUAACGCGUGGGGAACCUGCCCUGUACUGGGGGAUAGCGACUGGAAACGGUCGAUAAUACCGCAUAAGCGCACAGCAUCACAUGAUGCAGUGUGAAAAACUCCGGUGGUACAGGAUGGCCCCCGCGUCUGAUUAGUUAGUUGGUGAGGUAACGGCUCACCAAGACGAAGAUCAGUAGCCGACCUGAGAGGGUGACCGGCCACAUUGGGACUGAGACACGGCCCAGACUCCUACGGGAGGCAGCAGUGGGGGAUAUUGCACAAUGGGCGAAAGCCUGAUGCAGCCGACGCCGCGUGAGUGAUGAAGUAUUUCGGUAUGUAAAGCUCUAUCAGCAGGGAAGAAAAUGACGGUACCUGACUAAGAAGCUCCGGCUAAAUACGUGCCAGCAGCCGC